GACGAACGCUGGCGGCGUGCUUAACACAUGCAAGUCGAACGAAGUGGCGAACGGGUGAGUACCGCGUACUCAACCUGCCCUUCAGAGGGGGAUAACAGUAGGAAACGACUGCUAAUAACGCAUACUGAAGUAGGUGAUUGCGUCUUAUUCUCUAGUUGGAGGGGUAACGGCCCACCAGGGCGAGGAGCAGUAGCCGGUCUGAGAGGAUGAACGGCCAUAUUGGGACGGAGACACGGCCCAGACUCCGACGGGAGGCAGCAGUGGGGAAUCUUCCGCAAUGGAAGAAAGUCGGACGGAGCAACGCCGCGUGAGGGAUGACGGCCUUCGGGUUGUAAAGCUCUGUUAAUCGGGACGCGGUACCGGAAUAGAAAGCCACGGCUAACUACGUGCCAGCAGCCGCGGUAAUAC
rnacentral:rRNA from 1 species